UACGGAAGGCAGCAGUGGGGAAUAUUGCACAAUGGGCGAAAGCCUGAUGCAGCUAUGCCGCGUGUAUGAAGAAGGCCUUAGGGUUGUAAAGUACUUUCAUCGGGGAGGAAAAACAAAACUAAUAAUUUUAUUUCUUGACGUUACCCGAAAAAGAAGCACCGGCUAACUCCGUGCCAGCAGCCGCGGUAAUACGGAGGGUGCUAGCGUUAAUCAGAAUUACUGGGCGUAAAGAGCACGUAGGCGGUUUUUUUAAGUCAGAUGUGAAAUCCCUGGGCUUAACCUAGGAACUGCAUUUUGAAACUGAAAUACUAGAGUAUCGUAGAGGGAGGUAGAAUUCUAGGUGUAGCGGUGAAAUGCGUAGAUAUCUGGAGGAAUACCUGUGGCGAAAGCGGCCUCCUAAACGAAUACUGACACUGAGGUGCGAAAGCGUGGGGAGCAAGGCAGGGAUUAGAUACC
rnacentral:rRNA from 1 species